rnacentral:rRNA from 1 species
GGCUCAGGACGAACGCUAGCUACAGGCUUAACACAUGCAAGUCGAGGGGAAACGAUAGAGAAAGCUUGCUUUUUCUAGGCGUCGACCGGCGCACGGGUGAGUAACGCGUAUCCAACCUGCCCACCACUUGGGGAUAACCUUGCGAAAGUAAGACUAAUACCCAAUGACGUCUCUAGAAGACAUCUGAAAGAGAUUAAAGAUUUAUCGGUGAUGGAUGGGGAUGCGUCUGAUUAGCUUGUUGGCGGGGUAACGGCCCACCAAGGCGACGAUCAGUAGGGGUUCUGAGAGGAAGGUCCCCCACAUUGGAACUGAGACACGGUCCAAACUCCUACGGGAGGCAGCAGUGAGGAAUAUUGGUCAAUGGACGAGAGUCUGAACCGGCCAAGUAGCGUGCAGGAAGACGGCCCUAUGGGUUGUAAACUGCUUUUGUCAGGGACGAAAAGGAUCGUGAUAAUACCAUGGUCUGCUGACGGUACCUGAAGAAUAAGCACCGGCUAACUACGUG